rnacentral:rRNA from 1 species
AGAUUGAACGCUGGCGGCAUGCCUAACACAUGCAAGUCGAACGGGAGUAGCAAUACUCUAGUGGCGGACGGGUGAGGAAUACGUAGGAAUUUGCCCUUAAGUGGGGGAUAACCCGGGGAAACCCGGAUUAAUACCGCAUGACCUCGAAAGAGCAAAGUGGGGGAUCGCAAGACCUCACGCUUUUGGAGAAGCCUACGUCGGAUUAGCUAGUUGGUGAGGUAAUGGCUCACCAAGGCGACGAUCCGUAACUGGUCUGAGAGGAUGAUCAGUCACACCGGAACUGAGACACGGUCCGGACUCCGUACGGGAGCAGCAGGUGGGGAAUAGUUGGACAAGUGGGCGCAAGCCUGACUCCAGCAAUGCCGUCGUGUGGUGGAAAGGACGGUCCGUUCGGGUUAGUAA